UCAGCAAAUAGGUUAAUUGAUGGAGUCAUGUACCAGACCGUAAUAUCUUCCUAUCAGGUCACGCACAGAAAAAUAAACCCGAGACUUUGGGAAUUGGCUCACUCAGGCAGGUGUGUUCAAUUGUCAAACUUGGUUGGCUUUCUGGAAGCAAAGAGAUAGACUAAAAUUUAGGGAUUCUUAACUUUUUUGUGUGUGCCAUGGCAAUCCUGUGAAGCUGCUGAAUCCCUUCUCAGAAUAAUGAGAAGUUAAGUUUUAAGUUCACAAAGUACAUAGGAUUACAAAGGAAACCAAUUAUAUUGAAAUUUAAAAAAUACAUUAAUAACGUGUAUUUCUUUAUUAAUACACUAAUAAGAUCUAGCAAGAUUAGGUCUAAUACUAUAAUUUCAAAAAGCUGAUAAAUGUAAGAGAUAUUUUGUGAUGUCCGUAACAUCAGAAAUUUAAUAUGAAAGUAUGUGUAACUUCUGUUGGUGCGAAGUGACAGGUCCUUCUAUCACUAUGAUGUUGCCUUUAUUCAUAAUGGAAAGAAAUGGUAAAUUUUGCUUAGAGGUUAAUGAAAAUGCAGAUAUAAUCUUUCCCCAUCCAAUUUUAGGGAUCUCCACCCCUGCAGUUUUAUCCAUGAGCCAAGGAUCUGCAGACCGCAGGUUAAGAAUACCUGGAUUUGACAAUCUUUUGUAAUUAACAAUGAUGAUAAGUGCCAUUUAUUUAGUACUUACUGUUUGCCUGUUACAAAGCUUAUAUAUAACAUUAUUAAUCUUCAUAGCUAUUUUAUAAGGUAAGCAUUACUCUAUGCACCAGGUGUGGAAAUGAAGGCUUUUGUAGGUUAAUGCCUGAAAAAAAAAUCAAAUUCUUAACUCUCAGAAAUCUAACCACAUUUGUGGUCUUCCAGCUCUGGUUCAAAUGGAAAACACUCUUCGUAUCCCAAAUUGAGGUGUAAAGUUUAGAGCUGGCUCCAAAACAAGGAGCAUCAAAAUAUCUAAAUAAGUGUGCUUUAAAGUAAUUUUAUUAGUUCAAUUUUGUGCCCUAUGUUAAUACUCUAACACUCUAAUUUCUAAAUAAUUUGUAAUCUAGAUAAUGCAUCUCUAUUUGUUUCCUUUCUUUCUUAGUAGAUGUACAUGAGUAUUUUAUAUUACUUUAUUUCUCAGAAGAAGCCAAAGGUGAUCCAGUGAAGAAAAAACUACAAACACAGAGAAAUUAAAAGAAAAAUUCCAGAAAUCUUAGGGUUUCAUGGUCAUUACCCCUGUCAGGAGAACUCACUUUUCUUAGAUUUAGUGUUUGCAUCAGAAACCUUCAGGAGUGAGAAAAAAAAAAAAAAAGAAAGAAAAAAGAAACCCCCAGGAGCUCAGAAAUCUUUAAUCAAAGCCAAUAUGAAUACAGAUUAGAUACAGUUGUGGUUCUUAAGGCUCUUCUAACUCUCAUGAUUCAUAGUCUUUGUGUUUAGACCUGCAGUGUCCAGUACAGAAACCACUAGCCACAUGUGGCCAUUGAGUACUUGCAGUAUAGCUGAUUUAAAUUGGGAUGUGAUGUAAGUAGAAGAUAUACAGUAGGCUUCCAAAGACUAAAUUGUCUUAAUUUCACCUAUUUCGUUUUACCUUUUUAAUGUAGCUACUAAAGACUUAAAAUUACAUGUGGCUCAUGCUCUAUUUCUACUAGAUAGCACUAGUUUAGAGUGAAAGAAUUUGGCCUGUGUGUAAAGUUAUCAUAAAAAGAAUAAACUGAAGCAUUUAAAAUCUAGCAUUUUUAGUUCUAAAUGGUACCAGCCUAGGUUAAGGUAAUUAUUUCUUGUCUUAAUUCAGAAAAGCAUUUUAGAUCACUCACAGAGAACAGUUGUGCUGAGUAAAGGAAUUAUAGAAGAUAAUAAUUAAAAAGCACCUAAAGCUGAAGGUAGAACCCCAAGUCUGGUUCUAACUUUCUGAUAGUUAAGACAAAGAAGAAGUCAGCUAGAAAAUCUUGUCUACAGGAUGAAAACAUACCAGUUGCGCAGGAGGAAUAGCUUUGCCAGGCCCUGAGCCACAGGAGGUAUUAUUCUUGGGCCCUCAUAAAGGGAGCACUGUGAUGUAGUGGAAGCAUCCCUAGCAGUUUGCCCACAAUGAAGGCAAUGGCAUUUCCCCCAAUAAAUUUCUUGCACAUCGAA